GACGAACGCUGGCGGCGCGCCUAACACAUGCAAGUCGAACGAGCGAGAGAGAGCUUGCUUUCUCGAGCGAGUGGCGAACGGGUGAGUAACGCGUGAGGAACCUGCCUCAAAGAGGGGGACAACAGUUGGAAACGACUGCUAAUACCGCAUAAGCCCACGGCUCGGCAUCGAGCAGGGGGAAAAGGAGCAAUCCGCUUUGAGAUGGCCUCGCGUCCGAUUAGCUAGUUGGUGGGGUAACGGCCCACCAAGGCGACGAUCGGUAGCCGGACUGAGAGGUUGAACGGCCACCUUGGGACUGAGACACGGCCCAGACUCCUACGGGAGGCAGCAGUGGGGAAUAUUGCACAAUGGGGGAAACCCUGAUGCAGCGACGCCGCGUGGAGGAAGAAGGUCUUCGGAUUGUAAACUCCUGUUGUUGGGGAAGAUAAUGACGGUACCCAACAAGGAAGUGACGGCUAACUACGUG
rnacentral:rRNA from 1 species